rnacentral:lncRNA from 10 species
GAAACUAGGCAAGUGGAAAAUUGCAUUUUGUUGCUUUGAAUUAGGUCUGAGAAAAGGAAAAAAAGUGGAUAAAGAGUGUGCACUUCUGUUGGGGCAAUGACUCCGGGGCGGAAGAGGCUGAAAGAAAGGACCAAUGCAGGGAGGAAAAGAAAUUGCCCAACUCCUUCCAGGGAAUGUAGAUGAAAACAUAUAGACACAAUUGGGAGAAAAUUUGGGGCAGGUCCUUGGCUGAGUCUUGGGAGAUGAUCUGACUAUGAACUGUUUUGAUAAGAUGAAUGACCAGAACUCCCAAUACUACUUGAGUAGAAUCUUCUCCUGUCACUACAAGAAGAGGCUGUGAAGACACUGUUUGAACUCAGACCAUCACAAAAGAACAGUAUGAUUAUUGACUUUCAAUGAGUUUCUUACAAUUUUAUACCUAAUUAC